AGAGAGCUUGGAACUGGGCCCUGCAGAUUCCCCACAGUCCCGAUCUUUGGCGCUGGGAGUGUUUGCUCGGUCUGCUCGUCCCUCUUUGACGGAUGCUUCUGGGGAGACUGUCCUCUCAGAAUUGCGAAGAUAUUGGUCUGAGACUUGCUGUAUUGUAACAGAGCUACUGCUUGAAGAAAGCACUCCUGGGCCAGUCCCCAGCCUGGCUACGACACCGGGGCUUACUCCCUGUGUCUGAUAGCUCUCCUUAACUAAAGUCUACUUUUAUGACCAUGACAAGUGCACUUCUAGGAACAUGAAGGUAAAGAGUGGCAUAUUCCAAUGCUAGCACCUACCUGGUAAGGGCACGGGAUGCGGUACUGGUGACAAUGAUCAGAGAACCAUGUCAUCUCCCAGGUGAUCCUGUUCACUAGCUCAUAGACAUAGCAACCGAGAAGUGUCACUAAGGGCACAAGAUACAGGCCACUGAAGACUCCGAUGCGAAUCAUGAAUUUCUUUAGCUUCUCUUGGUUCCGGCCAUCAUGCUGUAUGACUUGUCGGACAUGAUUCAAGGAGAUGAUGCCGGCUAAGAGGAGAGACAGCCCAACAAAUACGCAGAGGCACAGAGGCAGAAGGACGAAGUAGCGAGAGGCGUCCAGGUCAUACAGGCCAACGAAGCAAACGCCGCUAAUGUUGUCUCCUUCAACCUUAUUCAUAGCGAGCAGCAUGACGGUCAGGAACCCGGGCGCCCCCCAGGCAACGGCAUGGAACCACACUGCUUUUUGUUCAAUAGCUUCGCAACUCCAUUUUCUCCCGGCAGCUAAGAACCACGUAAUGGUGAGAAUCACCCACCACACGGUGCCAGCCAUUGUAAAAAAAUACAGAAACAUAAAUACCACACUGCAAGCCUUAUUCUUUGACCCUAGGACAACGGUGUCCCCGAGCUCCAGCUUCUCGUCUGCCUUAUUACAAGCCGUGCUAUUGCCCAGCAAAAACCCCACGAAGUACAUGAGAGAGACAAUGCUGUAGCAGACAGAGUAAUAGAUAAUUGGUCUCUCUGGGUAUCUGAAUCGUCUAACGUCAAUUAAAAAUGCAGAUGUGAGCCACCCGGUGUGGAUGCUGGGAACGAAACCCCAGUCCUCUGCAAGAGUACUACAUGUCACAACCAUUGAGCCAUCUCUCC
rnacentral:lncRNA from 1 species